UCAUGGAUCCGUCACACCAGCGCGUUGAGCAGUCUCAGGUAACUCUUCCUCGCGACGAUGAUAACGAAGGUACGGAGUCUCGUGAUGUGAUAGUAGGAAACUGCGACGUGGUUACUGAAUUAGGAUUGGGAUCCGGAACCGUUUUUAUUGAGAAUAUAGGUGGUGAUAGUGAUGUUGUUGAUGUUAACAACCUCAAUGAUUUUGAUGAACCUGAUGACGAUGAUCUUGAGGUUCGCGGUAUCACAUCGAUGGGAAGUGAGAUUCGGUUGAUUACAAUCGAAUCUGGAUCU
rnacentral:lncRNA from 1 species